rnacentral:tRNA from 1 species
GGCUCAGAUGGUAACGAAUCUGCCUGCAAUGCAGAAGACCCAGGUUCAAUACCUGGGUCA